AGAGCUUUUCAGCCUUUUGGGGAAGGUUAAACAUAGUGUAUGCUCUUACCAGUUCUUAUGUGGUAGGUCGUUGCUGCAAGGACUUGCUGUUAAAUGACAUUUUGGAGCCAGGAGAAGCUCUGGGAGCUUGCUGCAGCCACUCCACACAUCGUUCUGGUCUUGCAGUACCUUCUGGUGUGCUGACAGCCCU
rnacentral:snRNA from 1 species